UUCUUUGUUCCAAUUGUUUCAGCAUAUUUUGUCUCCUCUUCAUUGGCAAGCUGCGUGAACUAGUUUGGGCUCCCAGGGAAUUCUGCUCACUUGUGUUGAGUGUAACUAUUAGUAAGAUUAUAUCUUUUCAUAGGGAGGUUAAGUAUCAUAGCUAAGAUCCAGGGCUUCAAUUUUUUUUAUCCUAAACAAUGAUUUCUCUCUUUGACUAUAUUUCACUGUUGGAGUUCAGUUCAGAACUGAUACUGAACCAUUCAAGCUUCUGUGUUGAGAAUUCCAUCAAACCUGCAAUGGAAGGAGAGCUUCUUGAAUCUAGAAAUGUGACUUCAUAACAUCCAUAUACAUCAACAUAAUCAUCAAUGUUGCUGCUCAAGAUUCCAUGGAUUUGCUAAACUUCUGCGAUACAACCGAUGACAUUUUAUAAGCUUGAUUACAUGUUAGAGUCUUUGUUGUUAAAUUACACAUUGCAGUGUAAGAUCAAGUUUUGAUCUAGUAGUACAACUCUAUGUUUUGAUGAUUACAAGUUAACCUUUUGAUAUGAACAAUUGUGGUACUCUAACGUGUUUUUCUGAGUGUGCUAUUUGUAGGUUCUGACCUCAACUCAAUCUCACACAAAUCAGAAGCACUGUGUAUAAAGAGUAACCCAAGCAACGCUUUCGCAUUCACCAUGUUCAGUAUGAACAGUGGAAAAGCUUCAGAAGUUCUGAAGCUAUACAAACUCUGAUGUGGACUCAGUCACUAGAAGCUCUGAAGAUCCAGAAGUUCUGAUAACCAAGAAACACUGAAGGUUCAGAUGUUCUGAUGGUGUAGAAGACUCUGAAGAUCCAGAAGCUGAAUAGUGGAAACUCUGAUGUCCAGAAGCAAGAAACUCUGAAGGCCAUGUUCUUCCCUCUGAGUUCAGAAUCAGAAGAUACAAUGGUCAGAGGAUCUGUUGUAAGAUCAAGUUUUGAUCUAGUAGUACAACUCUAUGUUUUGAUGAUUACAAGUUAACCUUUUGAUAUGAACAAUUGUGGUACUCUAACGUGUUUUUCUGAGUGUGCUAUUUACAGGCUCUGACCUCAACUCAAUCUCACACAAAUCAGAAGCACUGUGUAUAAAGAGUGACCCAAGCAACGCUUUCGCAUUCACCAUGUUCAGUAUGAACAGUGGAAAAGCUUCAGAAGUUCUGAAGCUAUACAAACUCUGAUGUGGACUCAGUCGCUAGAAGCUCUGAAGAUCCAGAAGUUCUGAUAACCAAGAAACACUGAAGGUUCAGAUGUUCUGAUGGUGUAGAAGACUCUGAAGAUCCAGAAGCUGAAUAGUGGAAACUCUGAAGUCCAGAAGCAAGAAACUCUGAAGGCCAUGUUCUUCCCUCUGAGUUCAGAAUCAGAAGAUACAAUGGUCAGAGGAUCUGUGCUUUCCCUCUGACUCUGAUCAACCGGCUUCACAAGUUCCAA